rnacentral:rRNA from 1 species
GAUUAACGCUAGCGGCAGGCCUAAUACAUGCAAGUUGUACGGGAUUAUUGGUAGCAAUACUGAUAUGAGAGUAGCGCACGGGUGCGUAACACGUAUGCAACCUACCUUUAACUGGGGAAUAGCCUUCCGAAAGGAAGAUUAAUACCGCAUAACAUUGCGAAACGACAUCGUUUUGCAAUUAAACCUACGGGGGUUAGAGAUGGGCAUGCGUCCGAUUAGCUAGUUGGCGGGGUAAUAGCCCACCAAGGCAACGAUCGGUAGGGGGUCUGAGAGGAUGAUCCCCACACUGGUAC